UUUAUAAAUUAUAAACUUAUACAUACAUAAAUAAAAAACAAAGGAGGGAAAUAUGGUUAAAAUUGUCAUUUUUGUUUAUAGUAUGAUUAUCUUUCUUUCCCUAUCUCUGGUUGCAAUAGAGGCCGGACGAGGUUAUCGAUGUACUACUGAUUCUGAUUGUCCACCAAAUAUGUGCCCCCCUGGAAUGGAACCAAAGUGUGUGCGUUAUGUGUGUAAAUGUUUACCAAUCGGGUGGCUCACAUGAUUCUUCAUUUAGUGUCAGACCCAAGAGAGUACAUAAAUGCUCUGCUACAACAUUCACAAGCUGUCAUUUAGUUAUUUUCAUGCCAACCAAUAAAUUAAUUUUUUUUCUUUUUAUAAUUUUAAGAACUUAUUAGUUAUAUAUUUUUACUCUAAAAUAAUGAUAAUGAAAUGAAAUAAGACGGCAAUAAAUAUUAUUUAGACUA